CUGCCUAAAAACCAGCAGGCGUGACCCGAUUUGGAUUGCUCGUGUUCAAUGACAGGUCUUAUUAUUAGCGAGAUACGAUCAAGUCUUGUCUAGCGGCUUGAUAAGAGAUUGAUAGACUCGCAGUUUCUAGGCUUGAGUUAUGUGUCGAGGGACUGUUAAACGAAUACAUAACCUAUGGUUGUAGACAAAUAUGUUAGCAGGUGUUUGGACGUGGGUUCGAUUCCCACCGGCUCCAUUG
rnacentral:tmRNA from 1 species